AUUGAUAUUCCAGUCGUUGCAGGUGGAGUGUCUCAAACUAAACUAAUUAAUUAAUAGUGUUUAUCAAGAUCACUUAUCAUGAUAACCACUAUUGAUGAGUGAUGUGAGCACACUCAAUUUUAAAUUGAGUGUGCAAGUAAUACUUGCACACUGUGUUUAUAUAUUAAAACAUUUAAUUUGAGUUUGAUGGCAAGUGUACGUACGUGAAAGUCACGUGCAGGCGAAGUGAGACUCAUGCAGAAAAUUCAUGCAUGCAGUGGUUGCUCAGCUUUCCUCUUUGUCUCUUCUACGGGGCAACUUGCAUUGAGAGCCACAGGGACUCAGUCAGCGACUUAACACUAACGCUUUAUUAGAGUGGAUAUAGGACUUUGUAUUUUCUGGCAAGACGACUCAAAAAAAUCGUGAAAACGCCUUUAAAUGGCAACAAUAUUGGAAAUAUGUAAAUCAGAUGAGAAGGAGGAUGGAGCAGGAUGGAAAUACCGUGACAGUUGAAAUUUUGAAUAAAGGACUA